rnacentral:lncRNA from 1 species
GAUUAAAGUAAACUCAUAAACCAUAAGAACAAUAAAACAAGAACUUACUAGAAUUUAGAAGUCGAAUUACUGAAGAAUCCUAGGAGCAAGCUUCGGGUUAGGAGAACUUGAUCCCGCAGGUACAAGCUUGGAGUAGACACCGACAGGCCGGGCUUCCUCCACUCUACACCUCCACUCUAUUUCUCUCAAUCUAGUAGAAACUAGAAGAUCUAUUUCUACCUUACAUUGAUUGCUAAGCCUAAAAAGAAAUAUUAAUUAGAGAAGAGGUUUUCCUUCGAGGGCACCCCUCAGUCUCUAUGAUAAUUUCUUCAUGUCUUCCAGGGGCCAGGGGGCCUCGCUUAUAUAGUCCUCCCCUUCUAUGCGUUUUUGGGUCGAUAGCCGAGGUGGUACUAUGUUUUUC